rnacentral:rRNA from 1 species
AGAGUUUGAUCAUGGCUCAGAACGAACGCUGGCGGCGUGCCUAACACAUGCAAGUCGAGCGAGAAAGCCCGCAAGGGUGAGUAAAGCGGCGCACGGGUGCGUAACACGUGGAUAAUCUGCCCUGGAGUCCGGAACAACUCGCCGAAAGGCGAGCUAAUGCCGGAUGAGACCACGGGGGCUUUGGCCCCUGAGGGAGAAGGUGGCCUCUGUACACAAGCUAUCGCUUCAGGAUGAGUCCGCGGCCCAUCAGCUAGUUGGCGGGGUAAUGGCCCACCAAGGCGACGACGGGUAGCUGGUCUGAGAGGACGAUCAGCCACACUGGAACUGAGACACGGUCCAGACUCCUACGGGAGGCAGCAGUGGGGAAUCUUGCGCAAUGGGCGAAAGCCUGACGCAGCAACGCCGCGUGUGUGAUGAAGGUCUUCGGAUCGUAAAGCACUGUCGCGAGGGACGAAUAAGCUGUCGGCUAACAUCCGGCAGCGAUGACGGUACCUCGAGAGGAAGCACCGGCUAACUCUGUGCCAGCAGCCGCGGUAAUAC